GGUUGUAACCAAAACCUGGACUGAAUGCAUCCAAACUUGGAAGCUGAAAACAGUCCCUUGUCUGGCUAGUCCUUGGAUAGGAGACUACCUGGGAAUGCUGUAGGCAGUUGCUGCUA
rnacentral:rRNA from 1 species